rnacentral:rRNA from 1 species
CGUAGGCGGACUAUUAAGUCAGGGGUGAAAUCCCGGGGCUCAACCCGGAACUGCCUUUGAUACUGGUAGUCUUGAGUUCGAGAGAGGUGAGUGGAAUUCCGAGUGUAGAGGUGAAAUUCGUAGAUAUUCGGAGGAACACCAGUGGCGAAGGCGGCUCACUGGCUCGAUACUGACGCUGAGGUGCGAAAGCGUGGGGAGCAAACA